UACGAAGGGGGCUAGCGUUGUUCGGAAUUACUGGGCGUAAAGGGCGCGUAGGCGGCCCUCCUUGUCGCGUGUGAAAGCCCCGGGCUCAACCUGGGAACGGCGCGCGAGACGGGGGGGCUGGAGUUCGGGAGAGGAGCGUGGAAUUCCCAGUGUAGAGGUGAAAUUCGUAGAUAUUGGGAAGAACACCGGUGGCGAAGGCGGCGCUCUGGACCGAGACUGACGCUGAGCGCGAAAGCGUGGGGAGCAAACAGG
rnacentral:rRNA from 1 species